GGAAAAGUGCCCGAGACAGGGACUACUUUGAUAAAGUAGAAACAGAGGCGCAACCUCUCUCUUCCAA
rnacentral:tRNA from 1 species